rnacentral:lncRNA from 1 species
CCCCAGAUUUGCCAGCUAAUGUGUCCCUUGGUAUGUCAAUGGCAAGUGAUCCCUCUGCAGAAAACACUGUGGUGAGUUGCUAGCUCCAGACCUUAUGUUAAGUACUUUUUAAAAUCACUGUUGAUCCAACUCCUCUGUCUUAUGUAUGUAAAAUGUCUUGUGUUAAAGAUUGCAUUGUGAAAAAUCACUGAACCUCCCAGUGGUUCUCCACAGAAUCAGCUAAUUUAAAAAACAACAACAACAACACAUUUUACAUAUUAGCUUAAUGCUACUGGGUGACUGUGGUCCCAUCUGCACCAGAAUGUAUGCCACAUAUACUUGGGCAAGAUACUAACCCCAAGCUGCACUCUGAUGCAUCUGUCAGAGUAUAAAUGCAUGUAAAUGUUAGAUAGAAAGCACUUACAUAGGAAAAGGAUAGAAAAAAUUAUUUGUUUGAGUGGGUGUGAAAGAGUGAGGUUGUAUAAGAAAAGUGCUACAUAAGACCCAGACCUUUUAAAAUUUACUGGUACAGAUAAUGUUCAGUGUGGUGUAGAUAGAGAGGAAAAGCAGGUCUGUCUGAAUGUAGAAAGAUGACAAAGGAAUAGAAGUCAGGUUUGUAUUUUGAGUGAGCUCUACAGCCUGGAUUGAGUACCACACCUCCAGAGCCCCCACAGGCCAUAUUCACACACAUGUUCCUGAAAGAGAGCAGAAUCAGAAAUUCUUUAAAAAAAAAAAAAUACAUUAGCUGAUACUGAAGAUUUAUGUGGGAAUUUAUUUUUUUCAGAUCUGAUUGAUUUUUAUAUGGAAUAAAGGAAACAGGGACAGGAAAUAAUCAGCCCAAUCAGAACUUGUCUUUGUCUCCUCUCAGGUGUGUUGUCCAUCCAUCCCAAAGCACUGCAAAAGUAUCACCAUGUACAAUGGUGUGUGCUUUCAGAUAGACAGCUCUAAUUCAUUUGGACCACCGAUACCAUCUUCUCUUGAAGAUUGUGAAACACAAGUCGACCUUGCCUUUCUGUUGGAUGGUUCAGGCAGUGUAUCUCGUCCUGAUUUUCGAACAAUGAAGAAGUUUGUGAGAGAUCUAAUUGAAUCAUUUCUCUCAAGUGACACACAGGUGAGACACUGUUGCCCCUCUGUCACUUAAAUCACAGCAAAUCAUGACAUAGUUUACAUCUUUGUUUGCAUUUAAAACCUUAAAAUAUUAUCUAAAACAUGUUUCACAUAUUUUUUCUUUCUUUCAGUUUUCUGUUUCCCAGUUCUCCAGUUCCCCAGAGGUUCAUUUUAACUUUAAAAAAUUUAACUUAUCUGAAAUGGACGAUGAAAUCAAUAGAAUUCAGCAACACUUUGGAAAGACUUACACAGCUAAGGCCAUCAAAGAAGUUGUGUAAGUGAUGCAAUGAUAUUACUGAAGCACUGCAUUAUCAAGACUUCCUGUCCAAAAUUUUUUUCAGUGAAUCUGACCACAGUAAUACUGUGCAUGUUCAGUAUUAUGUUCUACAAAGUGGACAAGAUGGCACAAACCAAGGCCAAUUUGAAAUACUUGCAGAUCUAAUGCUGCAUCUGCAAAGUACAAAAAUAUCUGUAUUUUGGAAAAAUUAUGAAAAAAAAAUUAAUAACACUGAAAUAUAUAUGACCACAAGGUGCACUUUUAAAAAUACUUUGUGUUGAAAUUACAUUGUAUUAUUUUUUUUAUUUUUUUGACAGGGAAAAAGUUUUCAGCCCACAGAAAGGCUCCAGACCAAAUGUGAAGAAGGUCUUGAUUGUAAUUACUGAUGGAGCAUCUAAUGACCGUGAGAACCUGGAAGGUGCAGUGCAGCAAGCAGAAAAUAAAACAAUUGCUCGAUUUGUUAUUGGGGUAAGCACUUCAGUUAUUUAAACUUGUAGAAUAUUGAGUUUCACAUUGAUUGAUGAUGGUGUCACUUGUCAGACAUGCUGUGAAUUAGUUCUGCCAUUCAGUCAACAA